rnacentral:rRNA from 1 species
AUUGAACGCUGGCGGCAUGCCUAACACAUGCAAGUCGAACGAGGGGCGGACGUGUGAGUAAUGUCUGGGAAACGGCCUGAUGGAGGGGGAUAACUACUGGAAACGGUAGCUAAUACCGCAUACCAUCGGAUGUGCCGAGAUGGGAUGAGCUAGUAGGUGGGGUAAAGGCUCACCUAGGCGACGAUCCCUAGCUGGUGUGAGAGGAUGACCAGCCACACUGGAAAUGAUACACGGUCCAGACUCCUACGGGAGGCAGCAGUGGGGAAUAUUGCACAAUGGGCGAAAUCUUGAUGCAGCCAUGCCGCGUGGACGAAGAAGGCCUUCGGGUUGUAAAGUACUUUCAGCUGGGAGGCGUUACCCGCAGAAGAAGCACCGGCUAACUCCGUGCCAGCAGCCGCGGUAAUUC